rnacentral:rRNA from 1 species
UACGAAGGGGGCUAGCGUUGCUCGGAAUCACUGGGCGUAAAGCGCACGUAGGCGGAUUCCUAAGUCGGUGGUGAAAUCCUGGAGCUCAACUCCAGAACUGCCUCCGAUACUGAGAGUCUUCGAGUCCGGGAGAGGUGAGUGGAACUGCGAGUGUAGAGGUGAAAUUCGUAGAUAUUCGCAAGAACACCAGUGGCGAAGGCGGCUCACUGGCCCGUAACUGACGCUGAGGCACGAAAAGCGUGGGGGAGCAAACAGG